AACGAACGUUGGCGGCGUGGAUUAGGCAUGCAAGUCGAACGAGAAAGCCACCUUCGGGUGGUUAGUAAAGUGGCGAACGGGUGAGUAACGCGUGGGAAAUCUGCCCUACAGUUGGGGAUAACACUCCUAACGGAGUGCUAAUACCGAAUGAGACCACGAGAUCGCAUGGUCUUGAGGUUGAAGGUGGCCUCUCCUUAGAAGCUACCGCUGCAGGAGGAUCCCGCGUCCCAUUAGCUUGUUGGCAGGGUAACGGCCUACCAAGGCUUCGAUGGGUAGCUGGUCUGAGAGGAUGGUCAGCCACACUGGGACUGAGAUACGGCCCAGACUCCUACGGGAGGCAGCAGUCGAGAGGCUUCGGCAAUGGGGGAAACCCUGACCGAGCGACGCCGCGUGGGCGAUGAAGGUGUAAGAUCGUAAAGCCCUGUCAGGAGGGAAGAACUGCCAAUGGGCAAACAGGCCAUUGGUUUGACGGUACCUCCAGGGGAAGCUCCGGCUAACUCCGUGCCAGCA
rnacentral:rRNA from 1 species